ensembl:lncRNA
AGCAGAUUCUGUGGGUCCCGCGAGUCCCACUACGCCUGAACUUGGUCAUAAAGAUAAUCCUCAGGCCUGGCAGCCAGGCCAGAGGGGAGAGACUUGGAGAGGGAGAUGAGUUGGAACAAACAUUGAGGCUUCGGCCAUGGCAGUGCACACCUGUAAUCCCUGCACUAGGGAAGCUGAGGCAGGGGCAUCACAGCUGCAAGGCCGGCCUAAAUUAUAUGGUGAGAUCCCUGCCCCCCCCAACAAAAAACUGCUGGGGUCUUGACAAAGCCAGCCGUGGUUGGAACUGAAUGCGAGGGAGGCUCUGAGAGCUACUCGGAUUGGGGAACCCCUCGGCAGGUUUGGGGGUGCGGCACUGGAGCCCCAGACAGCCAGGGUGUGGAUCUGAGGGGAACCACACCCCUUUAUGAGCACCUCUUUGUCCCAGGCCCAGGGCCGCAGCAAAGAAGACAUCUGGUCCAGGGGCGCGAGGUGCUGCAGAGAAAAACAGUCCUCAGGGGUGAGGGCGGGAACCGCUGUCCUCUUAUUUAUUUUUGAUUUUCUGAGACAGGGCCUUGCUAUGUAGCCCAGGCUGGCCUCAAGCUCUGCAAUGAUCCUUUUGCCUCAGCCUCAAGAGUGCUGAGAUUGCAGGCGUGUGCCACCGCCGGCUAUUUGACCUUUGUGUUGAAUCGAUACAGGUGUUUAGUGCAUGCUGAUUACACUCCUUUCGGGGAGCGGGUCCAUGUACACAAUAUAUCUCAACUCUCUUUAUUUCCCUUCCGCUGCCCUCUCCCCCUUGCAUCUCUACAGAGGUCUGUCUACCUAUUCCUAUUGCCCAUCUUUUUGUUGUUGUUCCUCUUUAAAUUAUUUAUACUUUGGGUUUCUCAUAUAAGAGAAACCAUGCGCUAUUUCUGCUCGUGUGUCCAAGGAAGAGCAGAAGUGUAGGCCCUGGGCCCUCUUCCUUCCCUGGCCCUGCCUGGGUGUGGUUCAUCACGGGCAUCACACUGGUGCAUGGAGCUGUGGCGGAUGAACACCCGCGUGCUGAAGGGUCAUGCCCUUUCUCACUGGUGGGAAGAAAGGCAUGAAGACUGUCCGAGGCCACACAGAGGGAUCAGAGAAAACCCAGCAGAAAUGCCAUGGGAGAAAGGAAACCAGCUCACCCAAGGGCUCUUGGCAAGAAUCCAGGCGCUCUUGACUUGUGGCGGCAUCUUAGAGAAAGGCAGGGCACACGGCGUCCCGUGGAGGAUGUAGAGUACUUGUGGCCCUGCGACCUAACCCACAGGACGCAGAACCGGCUGAUCUCGAGGAACAAACGUGAAGAUAACUGGUUGGCAGAAUACUGGCUUUUCGAACGUGUCCACCUCUAAUCCCCGGAAUCUGAGCGUAUGCAGUGUGACCAAAAUAUACAGUGCAUGUUUAAAUUUUUUAAAUAAUUUAUCAUAUUUUAUUAGCUAUUCAGGAUGGACAUGUGCGUUGUUUCCAUUUUUUACCACGUGCCAGUAUCUUUAUGAGGUGUGAUCAAAACUGCGGUGAGGGGCCGGGGAUUUAGCUCAGUGGUUUCGCCACCUGCUGCGCAAGUGCAAGGACCUGAGUUCGAUCUCUGGUACCAAAAAAAAAAAACUGUGGUGAAUGCUGCUGCCGAGCACCACCCAGUGGAAG